GGCGAGAUUCCCGAGCGGUCAAAGGGGGCGGUCUGUAAAACCGUUGGCUUCGCCUUCGCAGGUUCGAAUCCUGCUCUCGCCA
rnacentral:tRNA from 1 species